rnacentral:tRNA from 1 species
UCUCCCAUAGCUCAGUCGGUAGAGCGACGGACUGUUAAUCCGCAGGUCCCUGG